UACAGAGGGUGCGAGCGUUAAUCGGAGUUACUGGGCGUAAAGGGCGCGUAGGCGGAAUUACAAGUGAGAUGUGAAAUCCCUGGGCUUAACCUAGGAACAGCAUUUUAGACUGUGAUUCUGGAGUACAGUAGAGGGUAGUGGAAUUUCCGGUGUAGCGGUGAAAUGCGUAGAGAUCGGAAGGAACACCAGUGGCGAAGGCGACUACCUGGACUGACACUGACGCUGAGGCGCGAGAGCGUGGGGAGCAAACAGG
rnacentral:rRNA from 1 species